AUUGAGAGACCAUGCAUACCAAUUGGUAGUGGAUGCUCCAGUUUUGCGAAACGCAAUAUCAGCUGUGAGGUUCGAUGGAUGGUAACUCCAGUAGAGGAAAGAACUCAAUAGAGGAAGAUCACUGCAAGUGCUAAAUACUUGAUUGCUAAAGAAGGCAUAACUUGAGCUAACUUGAGCAAUUUUGAGCUAAAGAUGACGGAACACAUAGAGAUAAGCAGAACACGAGAGAACAAAACAGUUCUCAAAGAUAUAUUCAUGGCUAAUAAUCUGAAUUAUAAUGAAAACAGAAGAUAUCGAGUGCAGAUAUGUCUGGAGGGAUUGAUCCUACCUUGAAGGAACAAGUUUUCACUUUCAGUAUCUGGGUAUGUUCUGAAAUUGUUUCCUGAUGAGGUGUGGUUUGAG
rnacentral:misc_RNA from 1 species